GGAGGUUACUGCUAUCGGUGUUCGCCUCCCUUUUGCGAGUCAUAUGUUCUUCGUGAACAUGGCGUACUGCUCAGUAACACGUGAAUAACCUGCCCUUGGGACCGGCUUAACCCCGGGAAACUGGGGAUAAUUCCGGAUACCGCAUAUAUGCUGGAAUGCUUAUGCGUGAAAUGGAUUCCUCUGCCCAAGGAUGGAUCUGCGGCCUAUCAGGUAAUAGGGGGUGUAAUGUACCUACUAACCUACAACGGGUACGGGUUGGGAAAACAAAAACCCGGAAAUGGAUUCUGAAACAUGAAUCCAGGCCCUACGGGGCGCAGCAGGCCCGAAAACUUUACAAUGCGGAAAACCGUGAUAAGGGGACACCAAGUGCCAGCAACAUUUGUUGGCUGUCCAGGUGUGAAAACUACACCUGUUAGCAAGGGCCGGGCAAAACCGGUGC
rnacentral:rRNA from 1 species